rnacentral:rRNA from 1 species
CUGAUCUGAGGGGAGCAAGAUAACCCGCUGAACUUAAGCAUAUCAGUAAGCGGAGGAAAAGAAACUAACAAGGAUGGCCUUAGUAACGGCGAGUGAAGCGGCCAAAGCCCACUUGUAAAUCUUCGGAAUUGUCAGCUAGGGAGGAAUGGUGUCAGAUUUGAUGGACCUAAGUGGUCAGGAAUGACACGUCAUGGAGGGUGAUAACCCCGUGAGGUUCAGUUAGAUUGAAAACCAAACUAUCUAAGAGUCGGACAGCUUGGGAUUGCUGUCCAAAGUGCGAGGUAAACUCCUCGUAAGGCUAAAUACGUCCAGAGCCCGAUAGUGCACAAGUACCGUGAGGGAAA